CUACGGGUGGCUGCAGUGGGGAAUAUUGCACAAUGGGCGCAAGCCUGAUGCAGCAACGCCGUGUGAGUGAUGAAGGUCUUCGGAUUGUAAAACUCUGUCCUAUGGGAAGAAAAAAAUGACGGUACCAUAGGAGGAAGCCCCGGCUAACUACGUGCUAGCAGCCGCGGUAAUACGUAGGGGGCAAGCGUUAUCCGGAAUCACUGGGCGUAAAGGGUGCGUAGGCGGCCUAUCAAGUCAGAGGUGAAAGGCAUUGGCUCAACCAAUGUAAGCCUUUGAAACUGUUAGGCUUGAGUGCAGGAGAGGUAAGUGGAAUUCCUAGUGUAGAGGUGAAAUUCGUAGAUAUUAGGAGGAACACCAGUGGCGAAGGCGACUUACUGGACUGUAACUGACGCUGAGGCACGAAAGCGUGGGGAGCGAACAGGAUUAGAUACCCUGGUAGUC
rnacentral:rRNA from 1 species